rnacentral:rRNA from 1 species
UACGGAGGGGGCGAGCGUUGUCCGAAGUUACUGGGCGUAAAGCGCGCGUAGGCGGCUUUUUAAGUCAGGGGUGAAAUCCUGGAGCUCAACUCCAGAACUGCCUUUGAUACUGAGAAGCUUGAGUCCGGGAGAGGUGAGUGGAACUGCGAGUGUAGAGGUGAAAUUCGUAGAUAUUCGCAAGAACACCAGUGGCGAAGGCGGCUCACUGGCCCGGUACUGACGCUGAGGUGCGAAAGCGUGGGGAGCAAACAGG